rnacentral:rRNA from 1 species
AGGGUUUGAUCCUGGCUCAGAACGAACGCUGGCGGCAUGCUUAACACAUGCAAGUCGAACGCUAUCGCAAGAUAGAGUGGCGCACGGGUGAGUAACGCGUGGGAAUCUGCCCUUUUGUCUGGGACAACAGCUGGAAACGGCUGCUAAUACCGGAUACGCCCUUCGGGGGAAAGGUCCGCCGCAGAAGGAGGAGCCCGCGUCUGAUUAGCUUGUUGGUAGGGUAAUGGCCUACCAAGGCAACGAUCAGUAGCUGGUCUGAGAGGAUGAUCAGCCACACUGGGACUGAGACACGGCCCAGACUCCUACGGGAGGCAGCAGUGGGGAAUAUUGGACAAUGGGGGCAACCCUGAUCCAGCAAUGCCGCGUGUGUGAUGAAGGCCUUAGGGUUGUAAAGCACUUUCACUGGUGAAGAUGAUGACGGUAACCAGAGAAGAAGCCCCGGCUAACUUCGUGCCAGCAGCCGCGGUAAUACGAAGGGGGCGAGCGUUGUUCGGAAUUACUGGGCGUAAAGGGAGCGCAGGCGGUUCAACAAGUCGGUCGUGAAAGUUCAGGGCUCAACCCUGAAAUGUCGAUCGAUACUGUUGUGACUAGGAUACGGUAGAGGUGAGUGGAAUUCCGAGUGUAGCGGUGAAAUGCGUAGAUAUUCGGAGGAACACCAAUUGCGAAGGCAGCUCACUGGGCCGCUAUCGACGCUGAGGAGCGAAAGCUAGGGGAGCAAACAGGAUUAGAUACCCUGGUAGUCCUAGCUGUAAACGAUGUGUGUUAGACGUUGGAAAUUUAUUUUCAGUGUCGCAGCGAAAGCAUUAAACACACCGCCUGGGGAGUACGACCGCAAGGUUAAAACUCAAAUGAAUUGACGGGGACCCGCACAAGUAGUGGAGCAUGUGGUUUAAUUCGAAGAUACGCGCAGAACCUUACCAACACUUGACAUGUUCGUCGCGACUCUAAGAGAUUAGAGUUUUCGGUUCGGCCGGACGAAACACAGGUGCUGCAUGGCUGUCGUCAGCUCGUGUCGUGAGAUGUUGGGUUAAGUCCCGCAACGAGCGCAACCCUCACUUUUAGUUGCCAUCAUUAAGUUGGGCACUCUGAAAGAACUGCCAGUGAUAAGCUGGAGGAAGGUGGGGAUGACGUCAAGUCCUCAUGGCCCUUACGUGUUGGGCUACACACGUGCUACAAUGGUAUCUACAACAGGAAGCGAGACGGCGACGUUAAGCAAAUCCUUAAAAGAUACCUCAGUUCGGAUUGCACUCUGCAACUCGAGUGCAUGAAGCUGGAAUUACUAGUAAUCGUGGAUCAGCGUGCCACGGUGAAUGCGUUCCCGGGUCUUGUACACACCGCCCGUCACACCAUGGGAGUUGGUUCUACCUUAAGGCAAGGCUUUAAACCCUUGACCACGGUAUAGUCAGCGACUGGGGUGAAGUCGUAACAAGGUAACCGUA